ACUCCUACGGGAGGCAGCAGUGGGGAAUAUUGCACAAUGGGCGCAAGCCUGAUGCAGCCAUGCCGCGUGUGUGAAGAAGGCCUUCGGGUUGUAAAGCACUUUCAGUCGUGAGGAAGGUAGUGUAGUUAAUAGCUGCAUUAUUUGACGUUAGCGACAGAAGAAGCACCGGCUAACUCCGUGCCAGCAGCCGCGGUAAUACGGAGGGUGCGAGCGUUAAUCGGAAUUACUGGGCGUAAAGCGCAUGCAGGUGGUUUGUUAAGUCAGAUGUGAAAGCCCGGGGCUCAACCUCGGAAUAGCAUUUGAAACUGGCAGACUAGAGUACUGUAGAGGGGGGUAGAAUUUCAGGUGUAGCGGUGAAAUGCGUAGAGAUCUGAAGGAAUACCGGUGGCGAAGGCGGCCCCCUGGACAGAUACUGACACUCAGAUGCGAAAGCGUGGGGAGCAAAC
rnacentral:rRNA from 1 species